rnacentral:rRNA from 1 species
ACAUAGCCACAAGUUAACAUUUGUGGUCUAACCUGCCCAAUGUGCAAUUAAAAAGAUGAAUGGCCGCGGUACCCUGACCGUGCUAAGGUAGCGUAAUCAGUUGGCUUUUAAAUGGAGUCAGGAAUGAAUGGAAUAACCGGGUUUAGCUGUCUCCUUCCUAAUUAGUUGAAUUUACUAUUCAAGUGAAAAAGCUUGAAGAAAGAAAAGGGACGAGAAGACCCUUAGAAUUUUCUUUAGUGGGAAAAUUUUUUCCUAAUGAUUUUGUUGGGGCGACAUGGAAAUAUAUGAAAACUUUCCUUUAAUACUUGCCGAUUUUGUUAAGUCAGGAUAAAUUACCUGAGGGAUAACAGCAUAAUUCUAUAGAUGAGUUUGUGACCUCGAUGUUGGACUAGGGAACUAGCAAGCUAGCCGUUUGCUGUGUGGGUUCUGUUCGAACUGUAAUCCCUACGUGA